rnacentral:rRNA from 1 species
GUGUCAGCAGCCGCGGUAACACGUAGGGGGCAAGCGUUGUCCGGAUUUAUUGGGCGUAAAGAGCUCGUAGGCUGUUCGAUAAGUCGGGUGUGAAACCUCCAGGCUCAACCUGGAGACGCCACCCGAUACUGUCAUGACUAGAGUCCGGUAGGGGAGCGUGGAAUUCCUGGUGUAGCGGUGAAAUGCGCAGAUAUCAGGAGGAACACCAGCGGCGAAGGCGGCGCUCUGGGCCGGUACUGACGCUGAGGAGCGAAAGCGUGGGUAGCAAACAGGAUUAGAUACCCUCGUAGUCC